CGUGUAGGCGGGCUUUUAAGUCAGGGGUGAAAUGCCAAGGCUCAACCUUGGAACUGCCUUUGAUACUGGAAGUCUUGAGUCCGGGAGAGGUGAGUGGAACUGCGAGUGUAGAGGUGAAAUUCGUAGAUAUUCGCAAGAACACCAGUGGCGAAGGCGGCUCACUGGCCCGGAACUGACGCUGAGACGCGAAAGCGUGGGGAGCAAACAGGAUUAGAUACCCUGGUAGUCCACGCUGUAAACGAUGGAUGCUAGCCGUUGGGGAGCUUGCUCUUCAGUGGCGCAGCUAACGCUUUAAGCAUCCCGCCUGGGGAGUACGGUCGCAAGAUUAAAA
rnacentral:rRNA from 1 species